AACCAGAAAUGAAGCCAAUGGGAAGGAGCUGAAGGGAGGCGGGGUGGAGGCAGGGGUUGAGGAGUGGGCACAAAAGAAGAAAGAUAAAAAUGCAGAAAAAGAGUGACUUGCAAGUUAGUAUUCAGAGACAGAAAAAAGAGACAGGGAACUUUAGGGAAGUGGGGGAAAGGAUUUGGUAAAUUAUUAAGUGACUAUAAACCUUUCUUGUAACUCCAGUUACUAUUUGUCUUUGUAUGUUGUUUAGGUGAUUGAUAGCUCUUCAGCUUUCGUUUCUCUUGAAGACUUUAGAAUCCCUUUCAGAAUCCACUCAGUAUGGCUGCCCACUAAGGCAAAAUUGUGACCUGUACAAACAUGUUCGUAAUCAGGGCACCGUGACUAUGGAAUCUGAAAGUCAGGCUGGGAUCCUAAACUCUGAAUCUCUCUCCUUGAUCUAAAAAAAUCACCAUGCUAAUUAUAGUAUGGUAACCAACUGAAAACGCUAUUGAACAUGAGAAUGAGAUGGUUUCAGUGCUUCUUUUUACCGUUCCACUCCUUGCUAAGUGGCUCUCUGGAGGUGAAUUUCUUGCCGCUAUUUGCUUCAGCAACUGGAAUUAAGCGUUCUGCCUUUGGCACUUCCUGUCCUGAGAAGUACCACAGCGCUGAUGGCCCAGUACCUAGGGAAGAGCACUUUUGUUUUAUCUUUUAAUUAGGCCCUGACAUCUGGUGUGGACUGUGAGUGCUUAUUUGCACACCUGCUGGCUACUGGCUAGAAAGGAGCCCAGCCUAUCUGGAGAUUACUAGUGCAGAUGGAAACUGCUGUCAUUUAAUUUAAUAGAGCAAUUGUGUGGGCCUUGUAGAACGUGCCACCCUUGUGAAAUCGAGCCUGGGUCUCAAUUUCAGGUACUCUGAGCGGUUCCUUCUGUAAUGCACACGUCACCUCUUCUGUCAAUCUCCAUAACCAAUAUAGUCAGUUAGAAGAGGAGCUUAGCAACCGAGCCAUCUUGGAAACCUUUUGGGGGAGAAGAGAUGGUGGGGCUCAGGGGAAGGGAUUUGACUCAUAACGACAAGGAAAUUUGCCAAAGAUUUAAAUGAUCGUCAUGCCGCCUCUGUUAAACAGAUGUGUUGUGCACCACCUCAUCUAACAAGCCUCAGUCUGCCAAGACGCUGCAGGAGGGACACAGCUGUGCUGAGACAGAGGCAGGUGUGACAGGUCUUCAGGGUGGCCUCGUGGGCACUUGUGUCUCUGUGCCCUUGCGGAUGGUCCCUUACUUCCCCACGAUGGAGUGCCAACUCAAGCCUGAGGCUUCGGUUUUAUGCAACCUCAUCUGUAACAUGUGUUUGUUUCCCGGUGUAUCCCCAAGACCUGUCUCAGAGUCCAACACAGUGUAUGUGCUCAUUAAGCCGUUAUGGAAAGAAUGAAUAACAGCUGAGAUCGCACUGCCAGACCACUGAGACCCACUAACUUCCUGAAUGUCUCCUCCUCAGUGUUCUCAAAGCUCUGCGCCCACCCUGGGUACCUUGCUGCAAUAUUCCACCUGUCAACAUGGUCACUGGCUAUAGGGAUGUUCUUGCUUGGCUUACACUGUUUCCUAAUUAUCUUAUGUCCCAGUGGAAUCCCAAGUGGUGUACAGUUUAACAGAAGAGACAGAGCACUUGUAACUUAGUGACAAAUGAUACAAAACAGACUAAUGCCUAACGUAUUGGCACUAAUUCAGUAUUGGAGAAAUUGAGAGAAUUCUCUUUUUUUUAACUUAUUUGUUUUUAAUUGAAGGAUAAUUGCUUUAUAGUAUUGUCUUGGUUUCUACCAAGCAUCAGCAUGAAUCAGCCAUAGGUUUAAUUACCCAUGUCCCCUUCUACUUGAACAUCUCUCCUACCUCCUUCCCUGUUCCAUCCCUCUAGGUUGUUACCAGGCCCUGGUUUUAGUUCCCUUAGUCGUAC
ensembl:lncRNA